rnacentral:rRNA from 1 species
AGCGAACGCUGGCGGCAGGCUUAACACAUGCAAGUCGAGCGGGCCCUUCGGGGUCAGCGGCAGACGGGUGAGUAACACGUGGGAACGUACCCUUUGGUUCGGAAUAACGCUGGGAAACUAGCGCUAAUACCGGAUACGCCCUUUUGGGGAAAGGCUUGCUGCCGAAGGAUCGGCCCGCGUCUGAUUAGCUAGUUGGUGGGGUAAUGGCCUACCAAGGCGACGAUCAGUAGCUGGUCUGAGAGGAUGAUCAGACACACUGGGACUGGGACACGGCCCAGACUCCUACGGGAGGCAGCAGUGGGGAAUAUUGGACAAUGGGCGCAAGCCUGAGCCAGCCAGGCCGCGUGAGUGAUGAAGGCCUUAGGGUUGUAAAGCUCUUUUGUCCGGGACGAUAAUGACGGUACCGGAAGAAUAAGCCCCGGCUAACUUCGU